rnacentral:rRNA from 1 species
AUUGAACGCUGGCGGCAUGCCUUACACAUGCAAGUCGAACGGCAGCACGGGAGCAAUCCUGGUGGCGAGUGGCGAACGGGUGAGUAAAGUAUCGGAACGUGCCCAGACGUGGGGGAUAACGUAGCGAAAGUUACGCUAAUACCGCAUACGAGCUAUGGAUGAAAGCGGGGGAUCGUGACACCUCGCGCGAUUGGAGCGGCCGAUAUCGGAUUAGGUAGUUGGUGGGGUAAAGGCUCACCAAGCCGACGAUCUGUAGCUGGUCUGAGAGGACGACCAGCCACACUGGGACUGAGACACGGCCCAGACUCCUACGGGAGGCAGCAGUGGGGAAUUUUGGACAAUGGGCGAAAGCCUGAUCCAGCCAUGCCGCGUGCAGGAUGAAGGCCUUCGGGUUGUAAACUGCUUUUGUACGGAACGAAAAGGUUUGGCCAAAUAAGCUGAGCUCAUGACGGUACCGUAAGAAUAAGCACCGGCUAACUACGUGCCAGCCGCCGCGGUAA